AACAGAUGAGGAUAUUUGGCCCUAAAUUCUGAUUCCAGUUCCCAAGUCGCCUCCCUGGGCGUGUGGUUAUGCCACAUGACUUUUACAAAUGAUAUUUCCCGGUUGCGGAGUAUCCUGCUUUCUCGGUCUGUGAUACUGACCGGUACUUCUUCAUAAGACAAGUCCUCCCGGAGUGGAAGCGGUUCGUGAGCCAAGACAUGAGAAGGGUCCGGAUUGUACUUACGUAGCAUAGAUACAUGAAACACAUUAUGAACCCGGGAGAGCUCAGGAGGCAGUGCAAGUCUGUAGGCAGU
rnacentral:lncRNA from 1 species